AGUAACCAAACACUGGUUUAACUACCAACAGUGAAAAGAUACACUUCUCUACUCAGAGGUGACCUCCAAACUCUAUAAAUAAGCUUCUUUUAUAUCAUCUUUACAUGUUUUUUCACUCCUCUAUUAUCUCUCUCUCUUUAUAAUAUCUUUCUUAUUCUCUCUUUGCAAAAUUUGUGAUUACUUUCUCUCUCUAAAAACCUACGCUAUUCUGGUGUACAAUCAAUUAGAAAGACCAUUGAGAUAUUAUAUUUUCAGGCGUAACUUAUAUGCUCAGUUAUUCUUUGGUAAUCUUAAAGGAAAAAAAAAAUAAAAAUAAAAAAUUAAAAAAAAAGAAAAAAAAAAGAAGAGAAAAGAAGAGAAGAGAAAGAAAGUGAAUGAUAUACGAAGACAAAUACAGUCUUGAGACAACGACUUUUAGCCUCACUGGAAAGUAGAAGAUCCUCCUUCUAGUUUGUAUAGAGCUUAGGCUCUAAACAAUCAAAUUAGAACCUAUUUUCAAAUAGUAUCGAGAUAUGUGGUUUCAUUACUGAAAGUUUUUGUGACAGCCUUAAAAUAUAUUUUUAUAUUUAUUUAUAAAGUUUAAAGUUUCAAAAAUAGUGCAGAUCGACAAAUUUAUAAAAACUUGAAAAUUGACGGUCCAAAAACGUAUAACAAAAUACACUAUUUUUAAAACUUGAAAUCCAAUUUUCCUUCAUGUUCAUGCAUUUUGAUGUCGAGAUGAUCAAUUUGAAGAUCUUUGGAUAUCAAAACAUCUUCUAAUAAAAUUUAUGAGAUAAGCUCAAAUUUGAUUGUUUAGAGCCUCGGCCCUUUAUAAACUUUUCCCUUAAUAUUUAGCCCAUUUCACCCCUAUUUUUCAAGAGAGACCUGUCACAUACAUGCAAGAUAAUAGCUGUUCAAACUUGACUGGUAUAAACUAUUGUCUAAAACUUGACAAGAAAAGCAUAAACUGUGGUCAAAUAUCUACAAACCAGGCAUGUUGGGGAGCCUACACAUAGGUAUAGGCAUCCGUGCUUCUAGAUUGGGUUAGAAAGCGUGACAGAGAGAAAGUGGGGGGAUUGGAGUCAUAAUUUAUUUGGAUUACCUGCACUGCACUCUACUUAGUGAAAUAUCACUUUCAUUGCUAUUAUUGUGUUGUUGUUGUUUUCAUUUUGUAUUCCUCUGAAUUCCUCUCUGACGCCGCGGUCCAGAGCUCAACAGAUGAGGAGGCAAUCUCCAUCGCACCCCAUAUUGCUUUUUGCAUGCCCUUUUUUCAUGCGAGAUCCAAAGCGAGAGAAUGAAAGUCAAGAACCAGAAAUACUCGUCAAGAAUGACCGAAAGAGAGGGGCCUGAGAUCUUUAUGCUUGCAGAUUGUGGAUGCUAUACAAUGGUCGGUGAGAUCUUUAUGUUUGCAGAUUAUGGAUGCUAUACAAUGGUCGGUGACUUUUAAUCAUGUUUACAGAGAGGGGAAUGAAAUUGCCGAUGCGUUUGCAAAGAGGGGUGCAUCUUUGGAGUUGUUGAUUGCGCUCUAUUUGGAUUAUUGUACUGUAAUUUCCUUGUGAUUUAAUAAAACUUAGUACCUUUGUCAAAAAUAAAACAUCAGCUUUCUCUUUUAAUGUUAAUGCUGCCUAUGUAUUUGUAUUGGGGGGCCAAACUAAUUUUUUUUAAAACCCAUAGGCUAAGUAUUAAAAUUCAUGGAAGGAAACCAAGAAAAGGAACUUAUAAAAUCGUCCAC
rnacentral:lncRNA from 1 species